AGCUCCAAUAGCGUAUAUUAAAGUUGUUGCAGUUAAAAAGCUCGUAGUUGGAUCUCGGGUCCAGGCUUGUGGUCCACCGCAUGGUGGUUACUGCUUGUCCUGACCUACCUCCUGGUUUGCCCUUGGUGCUCUUGAUUGAGUGUCUCGGGUGGCCAGAACGUUUACUUUGAAAAAAUUAGAGUGUUCAAAGCAGGCAAUUCGCCUGAAUAAUGGUGCAUGGAAUAAUGGAAUAGGACCUCGGUUCUAUUUUACUGGUUUUCGGAGCUUGAGGUAAUGAUUAAGAGGGACUGACGGGGGCAUUCGUAUUACGGUGUUAGAGGUGAAAUUCUUGGAUCGCCGUAAGACGAACUACUGCGAAAGCAUUUGCCAAGAAUGUUUUCA
rnacentral:rRNA from 1 species